ACGGGUGAGAAACGCGUGAGAAUCUACCCUUUAGUGAGGAAUACCUUCGAGAAAUCGAAGUUAAUACUGCAUACGUCCCUUCGGGGAGAAAGAUGGCCUCUUUGCUAUCGCUGAAGGAUGAGCUUGCGUACUAUUAGUUAGUUGGUGAGGUAAUGGCUCACCAAGACGAUGAUGGUUAGCCGGCCUGAGAGGGUGUACGGCCACACUGGAACUUAGACACGGUCCAGACUCCUACGGGAGGCAGCAGUGAGGAAUCUUGCGCAAUGGGCGAAAGCCUGACGCAGCGACGCCGCGUGGAGGAUGAAGGUCUUCGGAUUGUAAACUUCUGUUGAGUGGGAAGAAAUACCCAGUUAUAAUACAGCUGGGUGCUGACGGUACCACUAAAGAAAGCACCGGCUAAACUCGUGCCAGCAGCCGCGGUAAUACGAGUGGUGCAAGCGUUAUUCGGAUUUAUUGGGUGUAAAGGGUGUGUAGACGAUUUAUUAAGUCACCUGUUUAAUUCUCCGGCUUAACCGGAGGCCAGCGGGCGAAACUGAUAGAUUUGAGGAUGGAAGAGAGAAGUGGAAUUCUUGGAGUAGCGGUAAAAUG
rnacentral:rRNA from 1 species